UACGUAGGGGGCAAGCGUUGUCCGGAUUUAUUGGGCGUAAAGAGCGUGUAGGCGGCUAGGUAGGUCCGUUGUGAAAACUCGAGGCUCAACCUCGAGACGCCGGUGGAAACCAUCUAGCUAGAGUCCGGAAGAGGAGAGUGGAAUUCCUGGUGUAGCGGUGAAAUGCGCAGAUAUCAGGAAGAACACCUAUGGCGAAGGCAGCUCUCUGGGACGGUACUGACGCUGAGACGCGAAAGCGUGGGGAGCGAACAGG
rnacentral:rRNA from 1 species